CGCUAUCUCUAGUAUGGGCAUUCGCUUAUCUGUCAAAAUCGGCCGGUUACAUGUUUAUCUUUCGAAAGUAAAUCGCUAUAAUUUAAUAAUUGUUUCUCUUCAUAUUGGCAUAUUGUAGCAGUGAUGAUAGUGAUAUGGAAUUAUUUCAAAUGAUAAUGGAUUGUGAUGCAGAUAGUGAUAGUGAGGCCGAUAUUAUAUGGUUAGGAAAAUAAAGAUCGUCUGAACUACAUGGCGAAGAUCAAUAAUUACGAAUUUGACUAUAGAUUUCUGAGCAAAGGUGUUGUGAAUGAAUUGAUUAAUUUAAUGAGACCAUAUUUGAGUGUAACGUCAAAAAGAUUCAAAUAUAGGAGAGGAAUUUAGAAAUAGAAAAAGAGUAUUUUGAAUGUGUAAUUUGUGUGCAAUGCAUCAUUGAUGUUUCAAAAUGUUGUUGCUUGAUGGCCUGGGUCUACUCAUGAUACACACAACCCUAUCUUUUAACAUGAUUAAUUAACCCACAUACUCAAUCGGAACGAUUUAAAAUGAAUCACAUAUUAAAACAAGAGAUACUAUAGAGAGAUGCAUUGGUGUUUGUAAAAGAAGACUCCCUGUAUUAUCAUUGAAAAGUAGAUUAAAACUAGAAAAUAUGCAAGCUGUUAUUAUAGCUGCCAUGCUGCAUAAUAUCGUCAGGAGUAUGAAUUUAGAAGAAUUAGAAUCAGAAAUUUCAGUCACAGAUACAUUACAGGAAAAUAAUAUAAUUGUUCGUAAUAAUUUUCCAGAACGUACAUCUGAAAUACAACUACUUAUAAAUAAUUGCUUCCAAAGAUAAUUUAUAAAAUAAACUCCAAUGAUAAUUUGACAAUUUUUUAUUUUCCAAAAUGAUAAUUACAUAGUGGUUAGUACAUGCAAGAUAUUUAAUUUAGAAUUUGUACAUAUACUUAAAAAACUAUCUAACAUAAAAUUAUUAUUGCCUACU